rnacentral:lncRNA from 1 species
AUGUAAUAACAUAAAACAAUGUAAAUUAUGUUGCAGCUCUUUAAACAAAGAACUCCUACAUUAAUGAUAAAUAUCAAAAUUAUAAAUACAUGACGUUACGUUGAUAUAAAUACAAAAUGCAUAAAGUAUGCAGACCUUAAAUAUUCUGAGCAACUUUAUAUAAUGUAUCUAAUAGUGUAUCUAAUUAAAAAUGAUAGUCUUCAACAUUGAAAAACGUUCACGGUGAAAUGGUAGACAAUGAUGAAUAACGCUCGCAGUAGAAAAAACCAACAUAGAGAAUUGAUUUCAUCUCUCAAAAUUUUUUCGCUAAAUUCACACGUGGACCCUGUUAAGGUGCAAUAGAAUACCCGAACGUCGACGUUCGCUUCGCAUCGGCCGGAAGUACAUGUACAACCGAAUCGUAUUCCCCUAGAACGCAUCCUUACAUUAUUUCCCCAACCCAUUGAUAAUUCCAGCACAAAUUACACGCAAUCGGUUAAAUCGCUUAACCUACGCCAUUACAGCUAACUCGGCACUCCAACGUUCUUUACUCCUAAUGUUCGUACAGUAUGUUCGUAGCUUGUCGUACAACCGGAAGUAAUCUCAUUCUUACACUUUGACGACCUUCGUUACAAUUUUUUGCAAUUUAACUUAUUCAAAAAUAUAAUGUUAUUUUACAGUAUUGAAACUAUACACUGAAGUAUUACACUUAUGAAGAAAAUUGGACAACAAAGUAUUACACUUAUGAAGAAAAUGCAAUACAAAAUUGGUCUCAACUUUCAAGGUCAAGGUCACAACCCAACACCGAAGGUCACAAUGUAUAAUAUCUAAGCCAAACGUGCACACCAUCGCCAGGAAGGGAGCCAGAAUUGGGACGCAAUCAGAGCUUUUCAUGGAAGCCUUGAGCAAAAAUCUGCCUGUCUAACAUACAUCCUGGUUAUCACAAUUCCGUGUCCAGCUCGACAGGCAGACAUUUGACGUUUAUUGUUCUUAAUAAUCCUCUUAAAUGGACCUUUUUCUUAUCUCUUUUUUUCUUUAAAUUACAUUGAAUCAUCUUUUCGAUCAAGUUCCACGCGAAUGUAAAAAUAUAACGGUUUCAACGUGUUCGAUAUAACGUUAAAUGAUCGUUUAGACAAUUUUUCUUAAUCGUAUAAGCUCGAUGAAGAAUAGAGGACAUGUGAAUAGUUUAACCUUGUUCUUACAAUUUUUUUAUGUUGAUUCAGAGACGGAUACAGAAACUCAGUUUUCAAUUUUGCAGCUUGGUCAUUUUGGAGUUUUUUAAGUUCAGAAUUUUUAAAGUUUAUAAACUGUAGUAUGUUAAGGUUUCUCUCUGAAUCCGUCACUGUAUCAGUUAUAAGCCAAAUGAACCAAAAUGUUACAUACACAUUACUGAUAGCCUUUAAUUUUAUUUAGAAUUAAAAACUCUAUUAUCUGGUCACAUUAUAUAAAGCAAGAGACAAUAACUGGAACCACAAAAAAUGUUCGUUAUUGUCGAAUAAAUUUUCAUAUCAGUUUAAACUUAACCAGUUUCACAUAUCAGAAAGCAGAUUAUGGACGAAAGGAGACUUCUCCUUUUAAUUAACAUUCUAUAUCUGUAACAGAAAGAACUACGGGCUCUUCAGAGAUUUCAACAGGAUAUAAUGUCUACAAAGAGUUCGGUACAUGUAUAACGUGAAGGAACUUCGUGAAGGACGUCAAGUGUGUGUGAAGGGAAUAAGAUCCCUCGAAAGGACAGAAUCUUUGGCAAGUGUCACAGCUUGCGCUUUGACGACUUAAUUUCGUUCAGUUACAUCGCAUUGAAGAUACUCGUAUUACCAGAACUGUUCAGAUUUCAAAUGCAACCCUUUGAGGUUUAAUUAUUACUAUACAUCUAGUCCACUACUUAAUACAAUUUUAAUUCAAUGUUUACUUGUUUCAGAAAUAAUGAUGGUAUAAAAAUGUACGAUUAAUACUGAUAAUGGUAUAUGAGUUAUUUAAAUUGUAUGACUAUAUUUGGUACUCGAAAUUCUCAGGAGUAUACAGACGUUCAAGAUAGACUCAACGCUUAAAUAUUUCAGAUAGGUCACUCAUUCGGAUAGUCAGGUACUCAAAAGUACUCAACACUAAACGAAAGUUUAAUUUAAAGAAUCAAUUGGUAUCAGUAUUAUUAGAGUAUGAUUAAAUACACUAUGAAUUUAAUUCUACCAUCUCACACGCUAUGAAAUUGCCAUCAUAAAUAUACUAUGACCUGCUAUAAAUACUCUAUGAAAAUUUAAUUCCGUAUCCAAAUUGUUAUCGAGUCUACGACUAAUGAGUCUAAAUAUACGUCGCACCGCAAAGGGUUAAUUUACGUAACAAUGAAGGUUACAAAUUUGAGAUUCUUAUUGAUUACGAACGAUCUUGAGUCGCCUUUGGACAGCGCGGACGGCAAGGCGAAAAAUCGAGGACGAAUUUCUUUCCGUUAAGGACGAAGUCGGAAGGAGAAAUAGUAAUUAAUGAUAGAUCGUAAGAGAAAAGAAAGAAUUUCUUUUUCUGGCUUAUUCCUGGCAAUGGAGCGAAGGGAAGGAAAGGGACGGUGGCUUGAGGCUGGCUCGGUUUAUGGACACAAAUUAGAACCACCUGUGUCUAUCUCGAAGUAAAAAAAUAUAAGACUUACGAUAGUUAACGGGAAACGAUAAAUAAGGAAAAUAAAGAAACGUAACGUAGGAAAUAAAAACAUAAAACAAAUAAGAUUGAAAUUUUAUUCCGUUGAUUGUUAGAUACUGUUAAUUGAGACAACAUAAAUAAGAAUUUCCGUUCCUGAUGAAAAUCAUAGACACAGGCAAUACAAUAACUAUACGGUAUAAAUAUAAUUAUAGUGACAACUAAUCAAUCGAUUGAUAGUCAAUGAACGAUCGAUAAAUUCUCUUUAGGUACUCAUCUGGAUUCCGCGACGAAGCUGACAGCAAUAUCGCAAUAAUUCAUAUCUAUAUAUAUAUAUAUAUAAUUGUAAUAUUGUUAAUAAUAAUAAUAAUGAUAAUAAAAGUAAUCAAGUUAAUAAUACUAAUAGCUAAUAACAAAUUUGAUUAAAGAUGGUUCACGAUAAACGUACGUGUUACGCACACGUGCAGGAUAGCACAGUAUAAAAAUUUCACGACAUUCAAAUAAAUAUUAUUAUAAUAAAAGCGUAAAUUCGUUUCAACGUGAAUUAUAUUGCAAUAAAUAUUACGUGUUCCAAUAAACGUUGUAUAAUAAUAAGUCUCAAAAAUUAUAAAUUAUCUUGAUUAUAGAAAACUGUGACACGUGUAAAAUUGCAUCAAUAUUGCGCUCAAGUAUCCUGCACAACGUACCAUGCACAUUAUGCUAGAAACUCCACUAAAAUGCACACACAACCACGCUCUCUUGCGCAAACGAUUGAUCAGAAAUCACGUUAAUCAAAUUACAUAUUGAUCAAUCGCAGAGAUAUCAGAUACACCUAAGACUGUUCGUAAAUGCAAACAGAAACAUGAUAAAUAAACAAUAUUUUACCACUU